AUGCGUCGGCCGCGUCCGUAAAACGCCCUCGGUCCCGUUUGAACAAUUGCUAUGCGCGCGCAAAGCGUCCGGAGACGAAUCUGUAAUGCUUACCUUCAUGGGCCGUUUUGUCGGCUUUUAAAAACGUCGAUGGUUUCGACGGUGUGCGCGCAUUUGGGUACGCGGAAUCGCACUUUUAUUGGUACACGCGGUUAGAAUGCCGUCCCGAAAACACGCGCACGUGUAGGUGACCGAGUGCGCGCGCACACACCGGUCCUCGGCGGCGGCGACGACGUUACGGGACGAAUAUCGGAAUCUGUAAUAACGUUACGUACGACUACGAUGAAUCGAAACCGCGUCUCGGCACUGUAUACGAAAUCCGCGGACGGAACUCGCGUACGAAAAACCGUAGUCUCGGCUACGGACCGCGUCGGAAAAAGGACCCGGCGUAAUUGUAAAUGGGCGCGAAACGUUCGAAAACGUAUAAUAUGGCGACAGGCGAGCACGCGAAGAACGACUACGGCGCACCGUGU